GUUGGGGCUUCAUUAGAUAAUUGUUAAAUGUUCAUUGUUAUACUUAUAAAUUGUUUACACGAAAUAUUUUAUGAAUAAUUUAAUAAAUUUUAAUAAAAUCACGUGACUCCAGCGAAGUCUACGAUUGGUCAGUGGAGAGCGCGGACAUUUCUGAGACGUUUUGAAAAUUUGCCGAGAUGAAAGCCUAAAAAAGAAAUCGGAGAAUUAUAGUUCGCAAAAUUCUUGUCCCCUGUAGUCAUUGUAAACUUGGGGGAAAUGCAUAAAGACUUUAACUCUGUCAAAUUGAAGGGAAUGGCAUGAAAGAAGGAAUUGCGUGGUACAUUCAAAUGGAGGAUCAAUUUUCAUAAGGAGUCCAGA